rnacentral:rRNA from 1 species
GGGGGCAAGCGUUGUUCGGAAUUACUGGGCGUAAAGGGCUCGUAGGCGGCCAACUAAGUCAGACGUGAAAUCCCUCGGCUUAACCGGGGAACCGCGUCUGAUACUGGAUGGCUUGAGUUUGGGAGAGGGAUGCGGAAUUCCAGGUGUAGCGGUGAAAUGCGUAGAUAUCUGGAGGAACACCGGUGGCGAAGGCGGCAUCCUGGACCAACACUGACGCUGAGUGAGCGAAAGCCAGGGGAGCAAACGGG